AUCCGGUUGAGCCUCAGAGGUCUGGGGGUGCAGGCUUCAACCCUGUAGCUGACUAGCGUCAGAGAGGUUCGACUCCAUCUACUGGG